GAAAGAUGCUAAAUAUUUUUGCGAUGUGUUACUAAUAUGCACUUUGAAUAUACUGGGAACAUUUUGCAUGCUUGUUUUGUAUCAAUAUA
ensembl:miRNA